AUCUAGCUGACGAGUCCCGAACAGGACGAAACACACAUCCUGGAU
rnacentral:hammerhead_ribozyme from 1 species